GCCAGCAGCCACGUCAGCCUGAAACUUACAAUUGGCAACCCACUGAAACUAAGCAGGUGUGAGCCUGGUCAGUACCUGGAUGGGAGAACUCCUGGGAAAAACUAAGGUUGCUGCUGGAA
rnacentral:rRNA from 1 species